AUGAUGCCGUGCGCUUCUGGGCCUGAGCCAAUUCCUGGAUGGCUAUCUACACCCGCAUACUGGGAAGAUGAUCUUGCAGUUGAAAUGUCUCCUUGGCCUCCAGCAAGUUUCUGUGUCUAUAUGUUGUACUUCAAUGAAAAACUAAAUACAAACAAACAAGAAAACUCACACAUGCCCACUGUAAAAACUGAACAAAGGACAAACCAACAUGAAACAAACCAACCAUCGGUAUUCCCACCACUAGGAGAUAUUACCACUAACAUCUUAGUGCAUCCUUCCCGAUCUUCUCCCAAUAGCAUUAACUUUUCAUUAGCAUUUCCUAAGAGAGGAAUCUGGGACCUAGAACAGGAGGUGCUCGUUUACUCUGGAGUCUGAAGUUCUCGGAUAUCUUUCACUUAUCCACAAAGCCCCGACACGGGCAGAUUUAAUUUGACUGUUUUAGAAGAGCAUGGAACAAUUAACGGCAAAUGAAUGGAAUUAAAAUCCAAUUGAAUACAGCCUUUCAGGGAUAUGACUUAGAAUUUGAUUUUAAAUACACUAAUGAAUAUAAAAUGAAAGCUUAGCGGCGGAAGGCUAAAGGGCUCUAAGCCUCCUGUGACCCAGAGUGCCACCUACUGGUCACAACCUGCAAUAACACCCCACUACCCUAUUCUCCAAAUACAUGGCUUUCUACUUAAAAGCCUCAAAAUGAUACCUCCUUUUCUUGUAUGUAUAUAUUGCUCCCAAGAGCUUUCUAGAUACCUUUGCUUCACCAGUGACUUGCAAAGGUCCUAGAAUAUCAUAGUGUAAUAAAUAUUUAUUGAAUGAAUGAAGGGAUGGAUAGAUGGAUGAUCAAACAGACAGACGCUCUUAUGGAGCAUUGAGAAAUGAGGAAAUCAUCUCUGCUCUCCACAGCUCACAGGAUUUUUUUGGCUUAUUUGAUACACAUAACGAAAUGCUUACCACAGUCAAGCUAACUAACACAUCAUCUCAGUUACCUUUGUGAUGAAAGCCCCGGAUUUCUAUUCUCUUAGCAUGUUUCCAGCAUCCCACACAGCACUAUUAGAUAGGUACCAUGCCAUGCACUAGACCUCUAGACUAACUCACCCCACAUAACAACAACCUUGUACCCUUCGACCAAUGUCUCCUGUUUCCCCCACCUCCCACCCCCAGUAAACACCAUUCUAACUGUCUGCUCCUACAUACUCAGCUGUUUCAGAGUCCAUGCAUAAGAGCCUACAGGGUUUUUUUGUCCCUCAUAGACAUUUUUUGGGAGAGUGAAUAAAACGAUGCUUGGAGGAGACCAGACAAAUGUGAGGGAUUAUCAAGACAGCCCAAUGCCAGGGGGUGGAGGAGUCCAGCGCUUACCAGAGAGAGCCAUGAGCUUGCAGAGAUAGGUGCUUCGUGAGAAACAGAAACGCAAAGAAAUGGGAAAUGUCUUGAGCAAGACACUCAGCAGGCACCUGCCAGGUGUUAGCUCUUUCCCCUUCCCUCCUCCUCUGUGCAACCCAGCUCACAAAUCCUUGAGCAGGACGUGAGGCGCUAAGGACGGAGAUUUGUGUUUUCCUGGGCUCACUCAGAGGGGAGGUGAUGUUCCAGGUUUGUCUGCUGUCAGUUUUUGAAACAGGGCAGGGUCACUGUGCUCACAGUGUGAGCUGGCGUGUCAAAGCCCCGCGUCAGGAAAAGUGGUUUCUGAGCCAUCACUGUCAGGCUGCCGGAUGGCGAGGUGCCCAUCUGAGCGUGUCCGCUCUUGACAGCCAAUGCUUGACAAGCGUCAUGCCAGCCUUGCUUUUACAUGCCACCCAGCAGGGGCUCUGCUCUGCAACAACAAAAAAGAAGUGGCCUGGUGCAGUUGAAAGAAUACAGACAAGGGGUCAGAAGGCUGGGUUCAGUCACCUACUAGCCAGGUGACCUUGAGCAAGUUAGCUUGCCCUUAUUGGUAUAUAAACUGCCUUUAGGUUUAUUGAACAGGAUAAUGCCUGGAAAAACAUUGUAAACUAAAGUACUGGACCAGGUUAAGGUGUGGCUAUUAAUGAAACCACAGAAGAGCAUCACGCCCGGGUGACCUGGAUGAGCUCAAACAGCUGGGAGCCUCACCUGCACUGAUCUGGACCUGGCUUCUUCUAGUGGAAUCCAAUCCUGUUUCAGCAGCUACAUCACAAUUAUGACUUGCCAAUACCUACCCCAUGGGCUUUUUUAAUACGGAUUGCACCCCUUUGAGCACCAUCUACUCCCUAUUUGGGCAACUGCGUUUUCAAACUAAGUGUAGAAUUCAUGUUACACGAUAGUUUGUACUUAGUUGUUCAGUUAUGUCUGACUGUUUUGUGACCCUAUGCACUGUGUAGCCAACCAGACCCUUCUGUCCACGGGAUUCUCCAGGCAAGAAUACUGGAGUGGGUAGCCAUUNNNNNNNNNNNNNNNNNNNNNNNNNNNNNNNNNNNNNNNNNNNNNNNNNNNNNNNNNNNNNNNNNNNNNNNNNNNNNNNNNNNNNNNNNNNNNNNNNNNAAGAAUACUGGAGUGGGUAGCCAUUUCCUUCUCCAGGGGAUCUUCCUAAAUCAGGAAUCAAACUCAGGGCUCCUGCAUUGCAGGCAGAUUCUUUGCUGUUUGAGACACCAGGAAAGCUGAAACAUACCAUAGUACCUUGAAAUGAUGAAUGUGUGUCUGUCUGUCUAUAUAUAUACGUAUAGCCUGACUCACCAUAUCUACCAGACAGUGAGCUACAAACCAUGUUUUCUUCAUCUUU
ensembl:lncRNA